AUAGGCCAUGUCUUGUCCAAAGAUAGAAACAAAUGUGUAUAAUUUGUCUGCUUUAUUUGCAUUAAGGUGACAUAUAAACCUGAAAACAACACCAGGAAGUCAAACCAAAGUUAUUUUUUCCUCUUUUCCGCCUAAUAUACUUUUUGUUUACAGCUGUGACAUUAGCUUUGGGAGGGGAAAGUGCAUUUUCCUCAUUAUGGAGGACAGCAGAAGAUAUAAAAUAGCAACAAAUGUCUGUUGCUAUGUUUCCAAAUUUAAAAAAAAAAAAAAAAAAAGUGAAGCUAUAGUCUGAUCUGUCACAGUGCUCAUGGCCCUGACAAUGAUGAUGAUGAUGGGGGUGAUGAUGAGGAGCAGGACAAUGAUGAUGAAGCAAAAGUAGAGUGUGAUAAGCUGCCCCUGACACGCCACAUUUCUUCUCCAUGCAUUAUUGUAAAUGGCGUUUCCCCUCUUCUGUCCUAACAGAAAUGGCUCCAUGGUACAUCAGCUGCUGUCUGCUUUUGUCCCACUGACACCACAGUGGUGACAGCACUCGGUCUACUCCUUUAAAUGAGCCUUUGCGCAUAGCCUUCGAAUCACCACAACUGCAUCAGUGCUGGCUGGGUUGCUUAGCAACUGGACAGCACAGAGAUCCCUGAAGAAAACCUCCUCCUCUGUAUAAAACACAAGCUCUGUGUGAUUCUUCAAUUGUGAUGUGCGCGUUGUUGCCAAUUUCCAGUAAGCAUGUUUAUGGUUCCAAUCGCAAAAAAAAAAAACAAGAGCGAGUCCGGCUCCGUGGUGAGGAAUUAAAUAAAUAAACAGAGAUUGCGCGUGUGCGUGUUGUUUGCGCGCGCACGCGUGCGGCUGAAUGUGUGACUGUGUGUGUAGGUGCGUGCCUCUGCGUGUGUGUUUAAAAAAAAAAGUGGCAAAGUGGAAGAAAUGCAUGAAAACGCACCGGCACACACUCCCAGCAUCCUAAUGGGCUUCAGAGAGAAUAGACAGACAAUUGAGCGCAUGAACCGCCUGUCGCUAAGGAAUUCACCUUAGGUGUCCCCC
ensembl:lncRNA